GGAUUGUGGCUCAGUGAUAGAGCACUCGCCUAGCAUGGGCGGGGCCGGGUUCGAUUCUCAGCACCA
rnacentral:tRNA from 1 species